AUCAAAGAAGUUGUGUUCAGAUGUUAUUCCUUUAGCUUCUCAUGUGGGUGGAAACAGCUCCUUCUCAUCCAUUUGAUGACAUCAUAAAACCAAAUAGCAAAGACUUAAUUAUAUUAGCAUUCCCCAGCAUUCUUUUUCUGCCACAAUACCACCAGUAUCUCAGACUUUUGAAAUUAACCACAACCUAUGGCAGAAGAUUCAAAUGGAGUUAAUUUGUUAAAUGUAUUAAUCACAUGCAUUGCAAAGAAGAAAAAAAGCAAUGAAGCACUUUCUGCUUUGUAGUAAAAGAUCUACUCCACUGGCUCCACAAAAAAAAAAGGAAAAGUAAGACU
rnacentral:lncRNA from 1 species